AAGCCCUAUUGAUCUCGAACAGGAACUCUACUCCAAUGAACUAGCACUGAAGAACAAAUUAAGGCAAAGCUCACUAAAGCCCUUGUUUAUUCCGUUCCAAAGCUCACUAAAGCCGUAGUCGAGUUAAGGAGUUAGAUAGGAGAACCCUCUAUUACAUCAUAUGUGACUUUGAAUAGCAGAUUUUCCGUAUUAGCAUAAGAGGAUAGGGCGCAAGCAAGCAAUUGUAGUUAGCGAGUUCCGCUUCCGCAGAUGAGCAUUCGGCUUCCUCUUG
rnacentral:lncRNA from 1 species